CUCGCGCUGAGAGCAAGUCCUGAUGGAGCACGCCGCGUGAGUGAAGAAGGGUUUCGGCUCGUAAAGCUCUGUUGUUAAAGAAGAACGUGGGUGAGAGUAACUGUUCACCCAGUGACGGUAUUUAACCAGAAAGCCACGGCUAACUACGUGCCAGCAGCCGCGGUAAUA
rnacentral:rRNA from 1 species